UCCUCUGCAGCAAUGCGAUUUGACUCUUGUCUUUGUUGACCGAGUUUAAAGGGAGCUAGAGGAUGGUCAGUUUAGACUAGUCCGAGUGCUACGCAUUCUUGGAUCUAGCGCUAGAUUGCUCAUUACAUCUAUUUUUUUAU
rnacentral:misc_RNA from 1 species